rnacentral:rRNA from 1 species
GACGAAGGUGGCGAGCGUUACUCGGAAUUACUAGGCGUAAAGCGUGGGCAGGUGGUUCGGUAAGUCUGUUGUGAAAGCUCCCGGCUUAACCGGGAGAGGCCAAUGGAUACUGCCGGACUUGAAUGUGGGAGAGGUGACUGGAAUUCCUGGUGUAGCGGUGAAAUGCGUAGAUAUCAGGAGGAACACCAAUGGCGAAAGCAGGUCACUGGACCACUAUUGACACUCAUCCACGAAAGCUGGGGGAUCAAACAGGAUUAGAUACCCCUGUAGU